rnacentral:rRNA from 1 species
UGGGGAAUAUUGCACAAUGGGGGAAACCCUGAUGCAGCGACGCCGCGUGAGCGAUGAAGGCUUUCGAGUCGUAAAGCUCUGUCCUAAGGGAAGAUAAUGACGGUACCAUAGAAGAAAGCCCCGGCUAAUUACGUGCCAGCAGCCGCGGUAAUACGUAGGUGGCAAGCGUUGUCCGGAAUUAUUGGGCGUAAAGCGCGCGCAGGUGGUUUAGAAAGUCUGAUGUGAAAGCCCACGGCUCAACCGUGGAGGGUCAUUGGAAACUAAUAAACUUGAGUGCAGGGGAGAAGAGUGGAAUUCCUGGUGUAGCGGUGAAAUGCGUAGAGAUUAGGAGGAACACCGGUGGCGAAAGCGGCUUUUUGGCCUGCAACUGACCCUGAGGCGCGAAAGCGUGGGGAGCAAACAGG